GACGAACGCUGGCGGCGUGCUUAACGCAUGCAAGUCGAGCGGUAAGGCCCUUUCAGGGGUACACGAGCGGCGAACGGGUGAGUAACACGUGGGUGACCUGCCCUCAGCUCUGGGAUAAGCCUGGGAAACUGGGUCUAAUACUGGAUAUGACUCCACGGUGCAUGUCGUGGGGUGAAAGCCUUGUGCGGCUGAGGAUGGGGCCCGCGGCCUAUCAGCUUGNGGUGGGGUGAUGGCCUACCAAGGGCGACGACGGGUAGCCGGCCUGAGAGGGGCGACCGGCCACACUGGGACUGAGACACGGGCCCAGGACUCCUACGGGGAGCAGCAGUGGGGAAUCUUGCGCAAUGGGCGAAAGCCUGACGCAGCGACGCCGCGUGAGGGAUGACGGCU
rnacentral:rRNA from 1 species